rnacentral:rRNA from 1 species
UACGGAGGGUGCAAGCGUUACUCGGAAUCAUUGGGCGUAAAGCGCACGUAGGCGGUCUCUUAAGUCCGGCGUGAAAUCCUGGGGCUCAACCUCAGAUGGCCGUUGGAAACUAAGAGACUUGAGAGUGGAAGGGGUCAGUGGAAUUCCUGGUGUAGGAGUGAAAUCCGUAGAGAUCAGGAGGAACACCGGUGGCGAAGGCGACUGACUGGGCCAUUUCUGACGCUAAUGUGCAAAAGCGUGGGGAGCAAACAGG